rnacentral:lncRNA from 1 species
UUUUUUUUUUUUUUCGGCUUUUUAGGACUGUACGUGCAGCAUGUGGAAGUUCCCAGGCUAGGGGUCAAAUCAGAGCUACAGCUGGAGGCCACAGCCACAGCCACAGCAACAUGCGAUCUGAGACUCAUCUAGGACCUACAUCACAGCUCAAGGAGACACCAGAUCCUUAACCCACUGAGCAAGGCCAGGGAUGGAACCUUUGUCCUCUUGGAUCCCAGUCGGGUUUGUUAACCACUGAGCCAAGAUGGGAACUCCCAAUACAGUGCUGUUCUUGAUUAACCAGUGUGAACACCUGCUGAUAUCCUGAUUUAUAUGACUUCUUAGCUCACAAACAAGCCCUCCAAUCUGGGAAGUAGGGUCAAGUUUAUGGAGAUGUAAUUUACAUAUGGUAACAUUCGUCUUUUUAGUAUAAAAUCUUAGGAGUUCUGACAACUGCAGUUUAAUCACCCCCAAAUUUCCUCCCACACCCUUUCAGACAACUCCUGCCCCACCCCAGCCCAUGGCAAACAAUGACGGUUUUCUAUUCUUACAUGUUUGCCUUCUCUAGAAUGUCAAAUGAAAGUAGCCUUUUGAUUCUGGCUUCUGCCAUUUGACAUUCAUGAAUCUGAAAUGUAUCUAAAAGUCAUGCAUGUUGUUGCAUAUACCAAUAGUUCACUGAAUGAGUGUUCAAGAGUUUGUUGAUCCAUUCCCUAAAGGACAUAUUUUCCUCAGUUUUUGCUGUUUACAAAUAAGUCUGAAAUAAACAUUAAUAUACAGAUUUUUAUAUGAAAUACUUCAUUUCUCUUCUCUAAAGAAGAGUCCCACUAUCUAGGAGUGGGAUUACUACAUUUUAUAGAAGUGUAUGUUUUGGUUUAUAGAAAUUUACCAUUAUUUUUCAAAAUGAUGUAUCAUUUAAUACUCCCAACAGUAACGUAUGAGAGUUCCAAGUACUUGGCAUUCCUGCCAGCACUUGGUAUUACCUUGUUUUUUGUUUGUUUUGUUUUAACUUAGCCAUUCAAACAGGUGUGCAGUGGCAUAUCAUUAUGGUUUAUCAAGCAUUUCCUCAUCUUUGGAUGUGCCUAUUUCCAUUCAAAUAUCUUCCUUAUACCUAUUCAGAUCUUUUGCUCACUACAUAUUGGGUUCUUUGUUUCUGCAUUAUUGAGUCAUGAGAAUUCUUCAUAUAUUCUGAUUUAAGUGCUUUAUCAAAUAUAUGCCUUACAAUACUAUCUCCCAGUUUUCAGUUCAUCUUUUGGUUCUCUUAAUAGCAUCUUUCAAGAAAUAGAAGUUUUUAAUUUUGAUAAAGUCCAAUUUAUCAACACUUUCUUUUAUGGAUCAUACUUUUGAUGCUCUCAUCUAAGAAAUGUUACCUAACUGAAGAUCAGAAGGUUUUCUUCUAUGUUAUCCUUUAGAACUUUUUAUAGUUUUAGAUUUUAUUUUUAUAUUUAUGAUCCACUCUGACUUAAUAAUUAUAACCUUGCAAGGCAUGUUUUGAGAUUCUUCUAUCAUUUUUUGGCCUAUUUUUCCAGCAUCAUUUGUUGAAAAUGUCCUUUCUUUAUUGACUGGCCUUUAUAGCUAUGUAAAAAAAACAUCAUUUGAUCUUAAAUGUAUUGAUAUAUUUCUCAUUUCUCUACUCUAUUCCAUUAAUCAAUGUUCCUCUCCUUUUGCCAUUAACAUGCCAUCUUAUUUCUGUAUAUUUAUAAGGUUUAAAAUUCAUCACUGUGAGAUUACAACUUCGCCCUUCUUUUUGCAAAUUGAUUUGGUCAUUUUAUCUCCUUUACCUUUCCACAGAUAUUUUAAAAACAGUUUGGUGAAAUCUUCAAAAAUCCUUGCUGGAAAUUUUGUUUGGGACACUGAUUACAUUGAAUCUAUAAACCAAUUUGGAAAUAGCUGACAUAUUAACAACACUGAGCCUUCAAUUCUGUAGGUAGAGUAUAUCAUUCCAUUGAUUUAGAUCUUUAAAUUCUUUUAACUGUUUUAUUUUUUAAAAAUACAGAUUUUCCACAUAAUUUGUUAGAUUGAUACCUAAGUAUUUCAUGGAUUUUCAGAUGCCAUUGUAGAUGGUUCCUUUUUUCCAAUUUCUAAUUUUUCACUGUUACUAUAUAAAAAUACAGGAGUUCCCAUCGUGGCUCAGUGGUAAUGAAUCUGACUAGGAACCAUGAGCCACGAUGGAAACUCCAAAAUAUAUAUUUUUAAUUAAUCACAGCAUAAUUUCAAAUAAUACUGUAGCCCUGUACCUAUAAGAAACUAAACAAUUGUAUAUUCCCAACUCCUCCUUCCCAUCUUUUGUGCUAAGGCUAUCAUAUAUGCUACCUAUACAUAUGCUAUAAACUCACAGAUAACUGCUACCAUUUUUGUUCUAGAGAGUCACUUGCUUUUUAGAGUGAUUAAAAUUAAGGAAAAAUAUAUUUUGUAUGUAUCUUCAUUUUAGCCAUUUCCAAAGAUCAUUAUUUCUCUGGUUUCUCUGUGUGGGUCCAUGUCUCUGAUAUUAUACUCAUUCUGUCUGGAAAAGUUGCUUUAACAUUUCUAGAACAGGUUCUAGUGGUAAUAAAUUCUCUUAGUUUUUAAUUUGUUUGAAAUGUCUGUUUCUCCUUCAUUUUUUGUUUCUUUUUAGGGCUGUACCUGCAGCAUAUGGAAAUUCCUGAGCUAGGAAUCAAAUAGAAGCUGUAGCUGCAGCUGCUGGCCUACACCACAGCCACAAUCAUAGCAACAUGGGAUCCAAGCUGCAUUUGUGACCUAUACCACACCUUGCAGCAACACUGGAUCCUUAACCCACUGAGCAAGGCCAGGAAUUGAACCCACAUCCUCAUGGAUACUAGUUGGGUUCACUAUCUGCUGAGACACAAUGGGAACUUCCAUCCUUCAUUUUAAAAGUUAACUUCACAUGGUAUGGAAUACUGAGCUGACAGUUUUAUAUUUGUGGCACUUUAAAGUUGUGUCACUUUAUUGUUUUCUGGUUUGCAUAGUGUCUAAUGAGAAGUUUGCUGUAAUUCUUAAUUUUGUUCCUUUGUAUGUUAACAGGUCUAUUUUAUUUGAGCUGCCUUCAAGAUUUACUCUUUAUCUUUGAAUCUCAUCAAUUUGCCUAUGAUAUGUCUAACAGUGCAGGGUUUUCAGGAGACGUAUUUAUCCUGCUCGGGCUUCUUUGAGCCUCUAUGAUUGGUGAUUUGAUGUCUUUUAUUAUAUUUGGAAAAUUAUUAACCAAUCUCUUGAAAUAUUUCUAUCUCAUUCUCUUUUUUAUCUAGGAUUCCAUUUACAAAUAUGUUAUACCAGUUAAUACUGUAUUUGGAUGCUCUGUUUUUGUUCUUUUCAUUCUUUCCUCUUUACUUCUUGACACCUGCCACUUUAGUGUAACAACUUCAUAAAGUAUAGUUAUAUAAUUAUAAAAUAAUUUCUAUUGUUCCAUGUUCAAGUUCAUGAUCCUUUCUUUGGCAGUGUAGAGUCUACUGAUAAGCACAUCAAGAGCAUUCUCUUUUCAUGCUUUCAUAUCAUGUUUCAUAUCAUGUUUCAUAUCGUUUCAUCAUGUUUUCAUAUCUAGCAUUUCCAUUUGAUAUUUUCUUACAUUCUAUCUUUCAGGUAAAAUGCCACAUUUGCUCAUGAAUAUUUUCACCUUUUCCACCACAGCUUUCAAUCAUAAAGUUACUUUAAAUUCCUAUAUGAUGGUUUUAAUAUCUGCCUCAUAUCUAACUCAGGUACUAUUGAGUGCCCU